AGCGGAGGAAAAGAAACCAACAGGGAUUGCCUUAGUAGCGGCGAGUGAAGCGGCAAAAGCUCAAAUUUGAAAUCUGGCUCUUUCAGAGUCCGAGUUGUAAUUUGAAGAAGGUAUCUUUGGGUCUGGCUCUUGUCUAUGUUUCUUGGAACAGAACGUCACAGAGGGUGAGAAUCCCGUGCGAUGAGAUGAUCCAGGCCUAUGUAAAGUUCCUUCGAAGAGUCGAGUUGUUUGGGAAUGCAGCUCUAAGUGGGUGGUAAAUUCCAUCUAAAGCUAAAUAUUGGCGAGAGACCGAUAGCGAACAAGUACAGUGAUGGAAAGAUGAAAAGAACUUUGAAAAGAGAGUGAAAAAGUACGUGAAAUUGUUGAAAGGGAAGGGCUUGAGAUCAGACUUGGUAUUUUGUAUGUUACUUCUUCGGGGGUGGCCUCUACAGUUUAUCGGGCCAGCAUCAGUUUGGGCGGUAGGAGAAUUGCGUUGGAAUGUGGCACGGCUUCGGUUGUGUGUUAUAGCCUUCGUCGAUACUGCCAGCCUAGACUGAGGACUGCGGU
rnacentral:rRNA from 1 species